rnacentral:lncRNA from 10 species
UGCAGAUUUUGUGAACUUUCCUCAUACCAACUAAAUGCAGUAUUGGGCCAGGCAAGAGGGCAUCAUGGAGGCUCCACGUCUUCUGUCCACCUGCAUCCUCCAACCAUCCAGCCACUGUUUUAUAAACUUUAAUAUAGGUGUAGGUCAUCAGGAAGAAGAAAGGUUACCAUGGCACCAGAGGCGCAAAUAUGCAAUGAAUCUGUUGCCAAGACCCUGGUCCUUCCCAGUGAGUGUAUUCAGCCUAACACCAUGGGCUGACCACGCCAGCUCCUGGCAUAUCGAAUGCUAAGAAAGCUCUGAGGGCAGUAAGUAUAGGGCAUCUGCUCCACCACAGUGGACUGGCUGAGGAAGCCUGCACACAGUGCUAGAACAUUGCUUUCAUGAGCAACACAGGCAGGUCCCAAAGCAUAGCCAUGGCCCAGGAGGAGGCUUGUGGCACCUCAUCCACACAAAGCCCUUGAGUUCUCCAGUACAUGUGCACAGCCCUUGUAUCCAGCCUCUGAGCUACUCCCUCCCAUGCCACAACACCCUCUAGGCCUCUCAGUGGCCCAGGCCUCCCUCACUGUUUGUUUGUUUUAGUCCCAUAACUGCAGCUCCAACCCUUUUCCUGGCUGUCUUCAAAAAUUACCUUGCUCUCAGACUACAGCCUUCAGUUCACCAUCUCUGUUCUCUUUAAUAUUCUGUGACCUAUACACUGACAGUCAAAAGGAAGGCAGAUCCUUGGCUACACUUCCUAUGUCAACAGCAUGGCUGCUUCACUACCUCACCAACUCAACAUUGCUUAUGACUUAGGCAACUCAUCCAUCAAGAACACACGGUUCCAUAGAAACUGUGGCCUGUACCUCAACUUCUCUGAUAUAAUUUUGAGUCUGGACAAGUUUCUAGCUGAUAUAGUGCAAGUUAACAUAGAGAUCCAUAGGACCCUCUAGCUUACAAAUGAACAGUACAAAUAAUGCAUUUAUAGGUCCCAGAAGCAAUGACCUGAUGGGAAGCUCCUAGCAUAAAGUGUGCUUCCAACAUGCAUAGCCCACACUUGCAAACAACCAUGGAAUCCUUCUCAGCCACUCAAGUGAUCAAUCCCAUUAUAAACCAAAUCUAUGCAACUCUACCCACCUUCAACAAUCCCCUUCUGCCUUCAGCCCUCCAUUUCACAUCCCCAGUAAUUCUGCAGUAGAAUAAUAAAAAGUGAUAAAUAAUGCUUCUCAAACUUUCAUGUACAUAUGAAUCAUCUGGGAAUCUAGUUGAAUGCAGAUUCUGGUUCAGCAGAUACAAGGUGGGACCUACGACUCUCCAUGUCUGACAAGCUCUUACCAGGUGAGCCGAUGCUGCGGGUCCACAGUACACACAAUGAUAGCAAGGGCGCAGGAGGCGCCAGACUCCUGUCAGCACCACGGUCAGCUCCAAGGCCAGCAACACGGAGAAAGGCAAGAACCGGAAGAGUGGUCCAGAGAAUGCCCACCAGGCAAACCCAGGGCUUUCUGUGCCUAGGGGAUAAGAGGUCCCUCUAGAUUUGGUGCCCUUCAUAAGUCUCCCCAGUCCCUGGAACUCUCCCCUCCCUGAUGGAAUCAGGUCUAGCCAGCUCCUUCAGACUCUGGUCUCUCUCUGUCUCUUCUGGCCUCAAGCAAGAAGCUCUUUCUCCAGUCCUGAGUUCAAGGUUCAAUGGCCAGACGGCCAUUGGCCUCAGGCUAGAUUGCCCUGGGCCCCUUAUUUAAGCUUCACAUCUUCCCAGGUCCAUUGUGGGUGACCUCACCAGGCAUCUAUGGAGCUCCAUGCCUCUUUAGAGAUUAAGUUUGUAUUGAAUAAUUUGGGAAUGUCAAAAUAUCAGUACCACCCCCAGAGAACUAUCCUUCUACCAAUGCUAUAAAAUCAAAAAACUCUCCAUGAGCCUGAAUAAUAAAACAUGACAUUUUAAUGGGUAUAUGAAAAGGACAGAUGCUUUUAUUCUAUUACAAUAGCUGUAAUUUUAAUGAGUUUUUCACAAUUUGCUUUAUUCAAGUGAGGGUUUUUAUAAGAUCAUCCCAAUUCCUAUUCUCUUGUUUGAU